AAAGAAUGCCUGUAGUCUGCAUGGGAGCUCAGACCGUUGAGUGGUAAUGAAAUAUGCAUUUUCUGGUGUGCUGUGUGCAGGUUUGCUGUGGGAGCAGUAUAAAAUUUAUGACAUCCUGAGCUAUUCGUUUUCAUGGCUUUCGAGAACUUGGGCCUUGUAAACGCUGUUACUGAUAAUGGUCGAAGCAGUUGUUCAUUUGCAGCUUUAACUGCUUUUUUAAUGACUGAGCUUUAUUGUUAUUGUAAUUAGUAAAUUAGACUGUUUUCUGAUUUUGUGCUAUUUCUCUCCAUGCUUUCAGCCUGUUUUCUUUAGGCCGGCAUGCUGGUGAGCCCUCCCCUCACCCUUUCCAUGUGGUGACCGAUUUCAGCUGGUGCUGGUGGGUGCGGGUGAUGUCUCCAAGAUAACUGAGCUCCUGCAAGCUGGUGACAAUUGCAGACCGAGAGGAGCAGGGCAGAAGGUCCAGCCACUGCUGCCCAUGGCAGGAUUUGGCCACUGGUGGGGAUGGCCAGCAGCUGGGGGAGCUGGCCAGCCAAACUCAUCCCACAGCUGCUUGUCUAAGGGAGGCACUUGGGAUCAGUCACUGUGAAAAGGAAUGUUCACACCUGUGCACGGUAAAACCCACCUCCAGGGCUCCAUCCAGCGAGCCACAGCUGAUGCCCAUGAAGGAAAGGGGCUGUGUAUUACCUCGCUUUCAUAACCAGAAUUAGCUCUACAGCUCUGUAACUUGGCAAGCUUUGAACAAGGAGGAAAGGCGCUGCAGGGGCCUGUAAUGAAGGAGCUGGACCUCAGGCACCAGCAGCCCUGAGGGGGUCAAUGAUGGGGGCUCAUGGGGUCCCCUGUUGUGCCUGCCCAGCUGAUUGGGAACUGUGGCUGUAAAGACCUGCAACCCAAAGUGUCAGCAGUGCUGGUGAGUGGGUUCUGCUCUGGGGAACAGCUUCAGCUGGGGUGUACAGCAUUUAUUUAAUUAGUGGGGUCCCAGGACCACGCUCUGUUGGUGGGAGAGCAGUGCUCCAAGCAGAGGCACCCUCCAGGGCUGGGGGCUGUCAUGCGGUGACUUCCCUCAGAAAAGGAUUUUGCAGACAGGCAUGAGAAGAAAGCUGUAAAGGGAGCAAAUGAAUCUGCUCUGAGAACUUUACAGGGGAUAUGUGAAUGUAACAGCUUGUUACUGGGCUUUGACUUUGCUGGAGUUGAAAAACAACCAAAAAAAUCUGCUUGGCUUCAAAGUAUCUUCGGAGUAAAACUUCUUGCAUCGUAAAUUAUUCUUAGGGAAACCUUACAUCAAAGGGAGGAAUCAGUGUUUCUGGCUUGAGCAGGAGAGUGGAAUAAAUGCCUUUAAAAUAUUUCCUAUCUAAGUUUC
rnacentral:lncRNA from 1 species